rnacentral:sRNA from 12 species
GCUUUCAACAUCCCCGUUCUGGAUUUGAGCUGUUUCAACAGGUGACGCCUGUGAAGCUGUCUCUUGCAGAGCUGAAAGC